rnacentral:rRNA from 1 species
AUUGAACGCUGGCGGCAUGCCUUACACAUGCAAGUCGAACGGCAGCGGACCUUCGGGUGCCGGCGAGUGGCGAACGGGUGAGUAAUAUAUCGGAACGUACCUUUCAGUGGGGGAUAACGUAGCGAAAGUUACGCUAAUACCGCAUAUUCUGUGAGCAGGAAAGCAGGGGAUCGCAAGACCUUGCGCUGAUUGAGCGGCCGAUAUCAGAUUAGCUAGUUGGUGAGGUAAAGGCUCACCAAGGCGACGAUCUGUAGCGGGUCUGAGAGGAUGAUCCGCCACACUGGAACUGAGACACGGUCCAGACUCCUACGGGAGGCAGCAGUUGGGAAUAUUGGACAAUGGGGGAAACCCUGAUCCAGCAAUGCCGCGUGAAUGAUGAAGGCCUGGUCGUAAGUUCUUUAGUCAGGAGAAGGACCCUUUCGAAAGUUAGGGACGUUGACUGUACCUGCAGAAAAGACACCGGCUAACUCCGUGCCAG